UACGUAGGGGGCAAGCGUUGUCCGGAAUCAUUGGGCGUAAAGAGCGUGUAGGCGGCCAGAUAAGUCCGCUGGGAAAUCUCGAGGCUCAACUUCGAGCUGUCGGUGGAAACUGUCUGGCUAGAGUCCGGAAGAGGAGAAUGGAAUUCCUGGUGUAGCGGUGAAAUGCGCAGAUAUCAGGAAGAGCACCCGUGGCGAAGGCGGUUCUCUGGGACGGUACUGACGCUGAGACGCGAAAGCGUGGGGAGCGAACAGG
rnacentral:rRNA from 1 species